CAGUCGCCACGGUAAUACGAGGGGUGCAAGCGUUACUCGGAAUCACUGGGCGUAAAGCGUGCGUAGGUGGUGGUUUAAGUCCGUUGUGAAAGCCCUGGGCUCAACCUGGGAAUUGCAGUGGAUACUGGGUCACUAGAGUGUGGUAGAGGAUAGUGGAAUUUCCGGUGUAGCAGUGAAAUGCGUAGAGAUCGGAAGGAACAUCUGUGGCGAAGGCGACUAUCUGGGCCAACACUGACACUGAGGCACGAAAGCGUGGGGAGCAAACAGGAUUAGAUACCCCCGUAGUCCCUGUCUCUUAUAC
rnacentral:rRNA from 1 species